rnacentral:rRNA from 1 species
UACGGGGGGGGCAAGCGUUGUUCGGAAUUACUGGGCGUAAAGGGCUCGUAGGUGGCCAACUAAGUCAGACGUGAAAUCCCUCGGCUUAACCGGGGAACUGCGUCUGAUACUGGAUGGCUUGAGUUCGGGAGAGGGAUGCGGAAUUCCAGGUGUAGCGGUGAAAUGCGCAGAUAUCAGGAGGAACACCAGUGGCGAAGGCGGUGCUCUGGGCCGGAACUGACGCUGAUGAGCGAAAGCGUGGGGAGCAAACAGG